rnacentral:rRNA from 1 species
CCCUACGGGACGCAGCAGUGAGGAAUAUUGGUCAAUGGCCGCGAGGCUGAACCAGCCAAGUCGCGUGAAGGAAGAAUGUCCUAUGGAUUGUAAACCUCUUUUGUCAGGGAGCAAAGUCACCCACGUGUGGGUGUUGGAGAGUACCUGAAGAAAAAGCAUCGGCUAACUCCGUGCCAGCAGCCGCGGUAAUACGGAGGAUGAGAGCGUUAUCCGGAUUUAUUGGUUUUAAAGGGUGCGUAGGCGGGUUAUCAAGUCAGCGGGUAAAUC